UUUUAUUCUAUUUUUCAUUUUUAUAAUUUCCAUUUGGUUCUUCUUUAUAUCUUCUAUCUCUUUACUGAGACUUUCAGUCUUUCCAUUUGUUUCAAGAAUACUCAUCUUUACUUCUUUGAGCAUGGUUCUAAUAGCUGUUUAAAAGUCUUUGUCUCCUAGUUACAACAUUUGUGUCUUCUCAGGGUUGGUGUCUGUUGACUGUCGUUUCUCUUGUAGGUUAAGAUUUUCCUGGUUCUUUGUAUGCUGAUUAAUUUUGGAUUGUAUCCUGGACAUUUCUAAGAGUAAAAACAGGAAGGCUCAAAAACUGGGAUUUGUUAGUAGACUUUUCAGAUUUAAUUGACUUUUGUGAUAUCAUUACAAACCAGUGGAAUAUAAAAGAGGAUUGGGCAUACUUUUUGAAAAAACGUACACUGCAUAUGUACAUAAAGGUUCAUGUUGAACUCUAUUGCUUUUUAGCAAAUGAAUAAGAGUAUUGCUCUUUUCAAAGCAAUAAUAUAUUGGACUGAUAUGCAGGUUAAAAUACUUGUUAAAAUAUUGGGGCUGGCCCAGUGGCAUAGUGGUUAGGUUUACAUGCCUGCUUCAGCGACCCAGGCUUUGGAGAUUUGGAUCCCAGGCGUGGACCUAGCACCACUUCUCAAGCCGUGCUGUGGCAGCAUCCCACAUAAAAUAGAGGAAGAUUGGCACAGGUGUUAGCUCAGUGACAAUCUUCCUCAAGCAAAAAGAGGGAGAUUGGCAACAGAUGUUAGCUCAGGACCAAUCUUCCUCAUAUACACACACAAAAAUUACUUGUUAAAAUAUUAAAAUAUUUUUGAUAGCUGUGGCCCUACCCUCCUGAGUCACUUUUCACUAGGCCCCCAUUACCUCAGCUUCACUUUCAGGAAACCCCAAACUUUCCUUUAGUCUAGCAACUAAAGAGUUAAUGUCUGGCCCCUCAGGGCGACUACUGGAUGGACCCAGCUCCUGCUCUGUGGUUGAAGACUCUCUGGUAGGUCAAGGCCAGUGCCUACCAGUCACUAAGUAUUUAGAAUAUUGCCUCUGCCGGCACCUUAUAUUUGCACAACAUUUUAUAGUUCACAAAAUAUGUUAACAUUUAUUGUCUUAGUUAAGCCUCAUACCAACUCCAUGACAUAAGUAGGAAUUAUUAUGGCCAUCAGAACACAUUUAAAUGAUAAAAUUAGUACAUAUUAGUGUGGAAAAUGAAUUACUGUUGGGGAACUCUAGACUCAGAAAGGUUAUCACUUACCCAGGAUCGCAUGGUUAUAGGCAUCGGAGUCCAAACUCCUAAUAGCUUCAAGAACAGUACGUAUCUUCAGUGCUGGGUUUCAGGGAGGGAGAUUUUACUCUGGACUGGAUAGAUCUGGGAAGGCAAUUGCAGGAGGAAGGCACCGAGCUUGUACUGAGGGACUGGUGGGAUCUGGUAGGCAGAGAGGAAGAACAAGGAUAUUUUACUCAGGAGCAGUGUGAAAGGUGGCCCAAAUGUAGCAAAAUAUCCUAUUCCCGUGAUCAUUGCAAGACUCCUUCUCUGGAGGCAUUGGAACUGAAAUUUCCCGACAUUCACUCACAGAGAGCACCUGAGGCAAAGCUCCCCUCUCUUACAUUGCUUGCUCAAUUCUGGAUUGUCGUUGAAGGAGGCAGGAAACAAACCUUCAUAAGCUGCCAAAGAUGAAUUGUACUCAUUGGGCCAUUUUUCUCCUUCACCCUUGGGUCCCUCCAGAUAGAGCAGUUGAUGAGAAAGAGAGGAAGUCUUCAAUAUUAUUCGCAGCUCCUCGGCUGCUUCUACCAAGUCCAUAAAGGCUUAUCCAAGGAGAGAAUAAUGCUCUAAGUCGAAGCAUGGCAACCAUAGUCCUAAAGUUCUUCGGGUAUCUGUGUUCCCCUGUCUGCAAUAGCAGUGGGAACCAUUUGCUCACAUAACACUCUUUCACCUCAUUUAACAGAAACGUUGUGCCUUUCCUUUGGAGGCACGAGGUGGCAAGAUGGCGGUGCAAAUUCCCAAGAAGGGAAAGCUUGUUGCUGAUGGCAUUUUCAAAGGUGAACUGAAUGUUUCUCACUCAGGAGCUGGCUAAAGAUGGCUACUCUGGAGGAGUAGAUGCCUCCAGGCAUUUUUAACACAGAGAAAAAUAUUAAUGAUCAAACAUAAAGAAGUGAAGAGAUGCUCCUUCAGGGCAAGUAUGGUUUUGAACAGAGAAACUAGAAGACAGAUAAUCCACAGAGAACUGUCCCAUCUUAAGGACAAAAGUGGAGAACCCACGUGGAGGUGUGUCCAGUCCAGAGGAGUCUUUCUUUGCAAACUCAUAGAUGCACUUUGGGGAUGUGGUCAUCAGUGCAGAAAUCAUGUAGAAGAAGAAACUGACAGACUUUUCUCCCAUACUUGACUUGUCGUAAACCCACAGUGAAAUUAAUUUUGGUUUCUAUUUAUGUGUCUUGUGGCUGCAGCCUGCGACGAUAUGAACCACUCUUAUGCUGAAUGUGUACUUGUGCCUGAGUGAAGUUUCUAUAUGAAUUCAAUAAUUGUUCAGUUCUUCACUUCGCUUCGUCAACAGUGUUCACUGCACACCUGCUGUGCUCUGUAACGGAGGUACUCGGGGGAUGUGCAGAGACACUUGCAUCCUCCCUGGCCCUCUGGCUGAGCUCUGGCAGAUGCCAAGCUGGUUUAUCACCCAAGGCUGGGCCCAUGUGUCCCUUCUAGGGCCACUCAGCCCAGGAAUUUUUUCCUUCCAAAUUUCUUUCCAACUGUACAUUUAGUUCUUUGUAAAUGUUUCCUGAAUACCUGUCUUAUUACUAAAUAUUUUUCCAGUGUAUAUUCUCUCUUACACAUGAAAUCAUAAACCUCUUAAAGGUGAAUACAUAUUCAUAUUACUUCUUAGCAUCUUACUUCUUAGCAUCGCCAUCCCAAUCACAGAGCCUAACACGAUUUGAUAUGUGUUUAUUUUACUUUAAAGCAUAAUUUGUCUUUAUUAUAUAAUUACACUUGUUCAUAAUGAAAAUGUUCAUUAUGUAAAUUUAGAUAAUCUAGACAAGCAAAAAGAAGACUUUUAAGUUGCCCAAAGUUCUACCGUUCAAGAAUAAGUAUUGUUAACAUCGUGCAUGGGGUAUACACCAAACAGGAUAUAUAUUUACCCCAAGGAAGCUAAAAUUUUAAUGGAAUGAAUUGAAAUAUACACAACCACAAACAAGAAGGGGUGAGAUGAUGGAGUUAGGUUUCUUGAGAAGCCAGGAAGAUGAUGUGGUUUCUUGUGGCCCAGGGCAGGCAGCAUAAGUGUGCUUGUAGAGACUUGGCGAAGCGGGCCAUCCAGAAAAUAGUUCUCCCAUCAGCUCUUGGCGUCAUUAUCACAGGAAUAAAGACUGUCCUUCCACAGCAGCAUUGAAUGACAGGCAGAAGUGUGGUUCCCAAACCAGCAACAUCAGUGUCACCUGGGAACUUUUCAGAACUGCAUCUUCUCAGGUCCCAUCCUAGAUCCACUGAAUCAGAAACACUGGGGGUGGCCCAACAGGCUGUUUUAAGAAGCCGUCCAAGCGAUGCUGAUGCACAAUAAAGUCUGAGAAGCACUGUCUAAAAACUGGGAUUGUAUCUUGUUCAUUGUUGAGUUCUCUGUCUCAGCACCUGCUGCCUAGAAGAAUUUGUUAAAUCAAGAAGACAAG
rnacentral:lncRNA from 1 species